rnacentral:rRNA from 1 species
UCCCAGCAGUCCAAAUCGCAAUCGCAUUUAUUAGGUCUAAAACAUUCGUAGCUUGUUGUGUAAGUUCUCUGUGAAAUCGUUGCGCUUAACGUAACGGCGGGCAGGGAAUACUGCAUGACUAGAGAUCGGGAGACGUAACAAGUACGGGUAAGGUAGCGGUAAAAUGUUUUAAUCUUACCUGGACUAACAAUGGCGAAGGCAUGUUACGAGAACGAUUCUGACGGUGAGGAAUGAAGGCCGGGGGCGCAAAAUGGAUUAGAUACCCAUGUAGUCCCGGCAGUAAACACUGCUUACUAAACAUUGUGUUUUCCUCGUGAGGAUGCAGUGCUGAAGAGAAGUCGUAGAGUAAGCUACCUGGGGAGUAUAGCCGCAAGGCCGAAACUUAAAGAAAUUGGCGGGGGGACACACAAGGGGUGACGCGUGCGGUUCAAUUAGAUUCUACACCGUGAACCUCACCAGGAGCGACAGCAGGAUGAAGGUCAGUCUGAAGGGCUUACCCGACACGCUGAGAGGAGAUGCAUGGCCGACGUAAGCUUGUGCCGUGAGGUGCCCUGUUAAAUCAGGUAACAAGCGAGACCUGCAUGUAUUAUUGCUACUUGAAAAAAGAGCACAUUAUACAGACUGCCUCAGUAAUGAGGAGGAAGGCGCAGUCAACGUUAGGUGAGUACGUCCCGAAUCCCCUGGGCUACACGCGCGCGGCAAUGCUGCAUGCAAUGAGACGCAACUCUGAAAGGAGAAGCAAAUCCCUUAAAAUGCAGCUUAGUUCAGAUUGAGGUCUGCAACUCGGCCUCAUGACGCUGGAAUCCCUAGUAAUCGGAUGUUAGCAGCGUCCGGUGAAUAAGUCCCUGUUCC